GGUUGCGAUCAUACCAGCACUAAUGCACCGGAUCCCAUCAGAACUCUACAGUUAAGCGUGCUUGGGCGAGAGUAGUACUAGGAUGGGUGACCCCCUGGGAAGUCCUCGUGUUACAACCC
rnacentral:rRNA from 1 species